CAGGAUUCAGAAAUACUGGUUGCAACUGACGUGCUGUGAGUCCAUCUGGGACUGCAGACCCUGUUGUUAUGGUGGCCUCCAGUGGGAGCUGUGGUGCAGACUGUGAUCCAUGAUGGGGUGAUCAGCGGCGCAGGCAAUUUGGAAAAAAGGAGACACAACCACAAAAAGGAAUUUUCCAUGUUCUGAUCCUCAUCUGGCCCUCCAAAGCAGGUGCUCCUACUGCCCAACACCCAGCACUGAUCUGAAAGGAAGCAGUGAUAUGUAUAUCACCAUAUAUAUGGUGGUUAUUCUGCUUCAUGUCCCAACCAAACCACUCUGUGCAUGUGCUAAAACAAACAGCAGAGAUCAGCAAUAGAAGCAUCCUCUCAUGUCAGCUGCCUUUCCCAGCACAGGGCCUGACAGCAGGAGAAUAAGCACAGUGUUUGCUGACAAAGCUGGGCCUGGUGAUGCUCAGUGUCAUUUAUUUAGCAUCCUUGGGAAAGACUUGAAGCAGCACCUACCUGCUGGGCUCUGAGCUGCUAAAGGCAAUUUACACUGCAGAAGCAAGCCAGAAACAAUCCUGAAAGUUACUCAGAUAUGGAGCCAUGCAUUAGCACUGACAAAAGUUCUCAAUCAGAAUCAACGUGGAGUUAUGUUUUCUAGGAAGCAGGAUGCAAAGUGGCUGUAUGAUCACUUAAAUAAGCAGAGAAUCCUAUUCUGGCAAGUACUGCAGAGCUAUUUGCUGGCAGUGCACUAUGCAGGCCAAGAAAUUGGAGCAUGGAAGUUUUACAGGUCACACAUUCUGAGCACUCUGCAAUAACUGUGUCUGGGGAGAGAACACUUCUUCCUGUCCAUUUAGCUUAAUAAAUCAAAAUCAGACACCAGUAUCGUGGGAGGGCUGUCUGAGUAAGGAGUUCUUAUUUGCAUUUUGAAAUAGAACAAUAUAGAAAUGUUGGAUCCCAGUAACUCUAAAUUUGAAGCAUGCAGCAUUCAUCUCUGCCCUUUUUAUGGCUGAAGGCCUCUGUAUCUCUUGCUAGCUUUUGUGGGGAAAAUUUCUUCUAAAAAACGUCACUGCAACUAUUUAUGUCUGUUUGGUAUGGGGUUGAACAGCACCGAGCAGAAAGCCAGGGAUGUAUUUAGAUUCCUUCCCCUGGCAGACGGGUGGGGAUGGACAUGUUCUUGAUUAAAACUGGGAGUUGGGAAGAUUGUUUCCCAAGGUUAUUUUUGGUUGCUGGAGCCUGGAUCUAAAGCCUGUCGCCUGGCUCCAACCCCUACCCGUUCGUAUCUGAUUUGGCCAAUUUGGAAUUGAAUCUGUUUUUAGAAGUAAAGGAGAGCAACUGUUUGCAGGUUAAGGGAUGCCCCCAGAUUUCUUCAGGACAGGGCAAAGGGGUGAGAGGCCAUCUGGAUCUCACAAAUGUAUUUGUCCUGCAGCUGUUGCCAGAUAAGGGGUAGACUGGGAAACCUCCAAACUUCCAUGAGGUGUCUAGGGAUGGAGGCUUUGGUGUAAGAACACCCAUCUGAAAUGAUUUGCAUCACAUUGCUGUGCUGUGGCAUCAGCUUCCCUGCGUGACUGAGCUCAAUGGGAUGAGCUGUGCUGUGAUGGGAGGUGAGAUGAUGACAUGCUAGAACAGGACUGAGGUUUGGACCUGAGGUUGCUGGGAUGGACCUUGGAGCUUCACAUCUGCUCCUAUCUAUCUGUGAUGGGGAAGGUGAUCCACAGGUCCUGUGGGAGACAGAACAUGGCAUUUAUGAGUGAUUUUCCAUUCAGGGGUUAUUUAAUGUGAUACAAAGGGGCAGAACCAACGAUAUUGUUCAAUACUCAGAAGGAAGAAAUGACUUGUCAAUCCUGGAGACACUAACCCUGAGCAGAUAAUAAAGCAGACCUGCCUUACAUGAGGCCACCCACAGCAAUUUGACUUGGAAUUGCAAUGACAAAAUGCAUUUUCACAAUGAAAUGCCCCAGCUGGGGCUCAGCUGCAUCCUGGAGCAUGGCACAAGGGUGAUCCCAGUGGAGAACCAGGACCUGAUGGGACAGUGAGACCAGGCAAAGGGAAGGACUGCAAACCCUGCUGCCCUCUGGUCCUCUAUGCCCUGGGCAGCAGAGGGCCUCCUAUUGGUUUGGAACUGCUUAUCUGAGUGACCAGACUUAUGCUGGUUUGACUGAGAGGAGAACCCAGGAUGUGGCUGACUGGGAGGAGGAGUGGUUCCCUCUGCAGCCAUGCCUUGCUAUGUAUUCCUUCAGGGUCAGCUGCUGCUCCUUGCCAGGGAUGACACCUCCCUUUGACCCCCUGAAGGCAGGACCCGAGAUGCUGCCUGCAUGGUUUCGUUAGCAGCAGCUCCUCCCACAGCUGUGCAGCACCUCACAGCUCUCGGCUAAAGCAACAAGCCAGCAAUAGUCAGUCAUCUUAAACAACAAAUGGUCAGUCCUUUUAAAAAAAGGAAGCAAAGAGAAGAGGAGAGAGGGCUGCAUAUGGCUAAUAGUAUAAAUGCUUACUGGUUAAUGGUUGAGCAUGCUAACAAAGGUCCAUAAGGGUAGCCUAAUGCUAAUGAGAGCAGGGAAUAUUUCCUCCUGCAAUGAUGAGCGCAGCUCCUUGCUUUGGUGCACCUCCACAGCAUUUGCACCGCGCCAGGAAAAUAUUUGCAGCAGCAUAUGUUUCUGCAGAGCUGCUCCAGCUGCAGUGAGGAGGCAGUCGGGAUAUAGAAAUGUUUCCUAUACAGUGGGAUGCGGAGACAUCUGUGCAGCAGGGCUGGGUGAUGCUGCUGCUGCCCUCUAGAUGGUGCAGUCUGAUAAAAAAUUUGAUGAGAAAGCCGCUUGCCGCGGCCGGGGGCUCUCCGACUUUCUCUGGGCAGAGGUUUUUAAUUGCAUUUGCAGGAGGGCGUAUUGCCAAUGACAGAGAACUGGAACGCUGCAGUGCUGGUAAUUCCCUUAACUGUUGGGACGAGGGCCAGAUCCACGGUGGUGUAUGCGUAUUCUCUGUAACCUGGUGCACUGCACUGUGCUGUGCCUUGAACUAUUCUGCACGCUGAGUUUAUUCCUAGGCCAUUUUAUUUUUUAACCCAGGAGUCCGUGCCAGGAAAUGCACCGCAUUUCAGAGGUCAGGCCGGGAAAUAUCACAGAGCUGAGUAAGAAAGCUGGUUUAAUGGUUUUCGGUGUUUACAGUUCAGAACCACAAAUUCCUGACUGCAAAUUUGUACUGAACAAUGCCAGCAGUGUCUGUGCUGUGCUGCAAAGGAGAUAUCAGGCAGACCUGACCACUGUCAAGUGAAACUGAUUGAAAAGAAAUAUGAAGAAAAGAAAACGUGGAAAAAACUCCUCUUGGCAAUCCUUAAUAAGUGAAAACUCACGCAGAGAAAUCUAUUGAAGGGAGAGCAGAGCAAUUUGAAGUGAGCCACCUUUUGAUUCACCGAUGGAACAAAGGCACUGGGAGAGUGAAAGAAGAAACAUAGACCACAUGAGAAAGAGAGUGUGUACGAUGGGCAGCAGCCAACACAAACUGGAAAUCAUUUGGUUCUCAAAAUGAAUGUGAGGGGAAGAUAUAUAACUGUAAAGCCAGAGUGGGAAAGGUUAUGGAAAAUAAAAGGGAGAUUUGUUUUUAAGCAGAACAUAUCCUAGCAACGUCACAGUCCUAAUAUUAGGUGGAUACUGUAGCUGACAGAGCCAUGGGAAAGGGAGAGGUAUCCAGUGUCUAUGUGGAAAGCAGCUCUCUUCUCACAUGAGUUUGGCUGGUAUCUCCUCAUCUGUAUAGCCAGGAAAAUGUGUGACACCUUCUGCUACUGCAAAAAUCAGCCUGGACUCUGUCCCUGUGUGUCCCAGGAGAAUGGGCCAAAGAUGUCUCUGGUUCAUGAAAACUCAUUUUGGGUAGUUUGAAUGGGGCAAAGCCUGGGACUAGAAGGAUGGUACAGCCGUGCGAGUACUUGAAUGGGCACAGCUGGUCCUGCAGGUAGGACAUCUUGUCAUUCAAC
rnacentral:lncRNA from 7 species